AUUAAACUAUUUUCUG
rnacentral:tRNA from 1 species